AGGUGGGGGCGGGCCCAGGUAGCAGGUUUGGCUGCGCGGGGGCCGCGCGUCGGAGUUUCCCCCUUUCCAGGGUGAGGAUGGUUCUACACAGCCACCCGGAGUUCCUUAGUUGAAAGGUGCGCCCCGUUGUGACAGAAUGUGGUAAUUGUAAUCUUUAACAUUUUCAUGUAAAAUGUAUUUCCUGAUCAUCUUUCCAUUGUCUUCAUGGAAAAUUGAUAAAUAUUUGUGCCUUCCAACCCUCGUCUUGGUUUAAUGACUUUAUAUUAAUACAACAUGGACACCACGUUGCUGAAAACAUGCUUUGGGACUGUCACUGAAUUUAUCUUUUGCGGUUUUAUGACAAAGUUAUUAGUAGUUUCCUUUUUUUGAAUUAGUAUUUUGAAGUUAAUAUCACAAUGAGUUCAGGCUUAUGGAGCCAAGACAAAGUUACUUCACCCUACUGGGAAGAGCGGGUUUUUUAUUUGCUUCUUCAAGAAUGCAGCGUUACAGACAAACAAACACAAAAGCUCCUUAAAGUACCGAAGGGAAGUAUAGGACAGUAUAUUCAAGAUCGUUCUGUGGGGCAUUCAAGGAUUCCUUCUGCAAAAGGCAAGAAAAAUCAGAUUGGAUUAAAAAUUCUAGAGCAACCUCAUGCAGUUCUCUUUGUUGAUGAAAAGGAUGUUGUAGAGAUAAAUGAAAAGUUCACAGAGUUACUUUUGGCAAUCACCAAUUGUGAGGAGAGGUUCAGCCUGUUUAAAAACAGAAACAGACUAAGUAAAGGCCUCCAAAUAGACGUGGGCUGUCCUGUGAAAGUACAGCUGAGAUCUGGGGAAGAAAAAUUUCCUGGAGUUGUACGCUUCAGAGGACCCCUGUUAGCAGAGAGGACAGUCUCCGGAAUAUUCUUUGGAGUUGAAUUGCUGGAAGAAGGUCGUGGCCAAGGUUUCACUGACGGGGUGUACCAAGGGAAACAGCUUUUUCAGUGUGAUGAAGAUUGUGGCGUGUUUGUUGCAUUGGACAAGCUAGAACUCAUAGAAGACGAUGACACUGCAUUGGAAAGUGAUUAUGCAGGUCCUGGGGACACAAUGCAGGUCGAACUUCCUCCUUUGGAAAUAAACUCCAGAGUUUCUUUGAAGGUUGGAGAAACAAUAGAAUCUGGAACAGUUAUAUUCUGUGAUGUUUUGCCAGGAAAAGAAAGCUUAGGAUAUUUUGUUGGUGUGGACAUGGAUAACCCUAUUGGCAACUGGGAUGGAAGAUUCGAUGGAGUGCAGCUUUGUAGUUUUGCGUGUGUUGAAAGUACAAUUCUAUUGCACAUCAAUGAUAUCAUCCCAGAGAGCGUGACACAGGAAAGGAGGCCUCCCAAACUUGCCUUUAUGUCAAGAGGUGUUGGGGACAAAGGUUCAUCCAGUCAUAAUAAACCAAAGGCUACAGGAUCUACCUCAGACCCUGGAAAUAGAAACAGAUCUGAAUUAUUUUAUACCUUAAAUGGGUCUUCUGUUGACUCACAACCACAAUCCAAAUCAAAAAAUACAUGGUACAUUGAUGAAGUUGCAGAAGACCCUGCAAAAUCUCUUACAGAGAUAUCUACAGACUUUGACCGUUCUUCACCACCACUCCAGCCUCCUCCUGUGAACUCACUGUCCACCGAGAACAGAUUCCACUCUUUACCAUUCAGUCUCACAAAGAUGCCCAAUACCAAUGGAAGUAUUGGCCACAGUCCACUUUCUCUGUCAGCCCAGUCUGUGAUGGAAGAGCUAAACACUGCACCCGUCCAAGAGAGUCCACCCUUGGCCAUGCCUCCUGGGAACUCACAUGGUCUAGAAGUGGGCUCAUUGGCUGAAGUUAAGGAGAACCCUCCUUUCUAUGGGGUAAUCCGUUGGAUCGGUCAGCCACCAGGACUGAAUGAAGUGCUCGCUGGACUGGAACUGGAAGAUGAGUGUGCAGGCUGUACGGAUGGAACCUUCAGAGGCACUCGGUAUUUCACCUGUGCCCUGAAGAAGGCGCUGUUUGUGAAACUGAAGAGCUGCAGGCCUGACUCUAGGUUUGCAUCAUUGCAGCCGGUUUCCAAUCAGAUUGAGCGCUGUAACUCUUUAGCAUUUGGAGGCUACUUAAGUGAAGUAGUAGAAGAAAAUACUCCACCAAAAAUGGAAAAAGAAGGCCUGGAGAUAAUGAUUGGGAAGAAGAAAGGCAUCCAGGGUCAUUACAAUUCUUGUUACUUAGACUCAACCUUAUUCUGCUUAUUUGCUUUUAGUUCUGUUCUGGACACUGUGUUACUUAGACCCAAAGAAAAGAACGAUGUAGAAUAUUAUAGUGAAACCCAAGAGCUACUGAGGACAGAAAUUGUUAAUCCUCUGAGAAUGUAAGUAGAAGACAAAUUGCUGUUUUGCCUUUACAUGAUGUUCUAUUUGCUGUUUUCUGGUAUAGUAAUUAAUUUAUACCUUGUCUUCAUAUAAUAAGAGAUGGGUGAAAAUUGGUUCUUAUGGUAAAAUAUCACAUUUUUAAACCUUUGGUCCUUGUACUUUUUUGCUUAUUUAAUUUCUUAAAUCUGGCCAAGGUGUAGAACAUAGCAUAUUCCAUGAAAUGAUUUAACCUGUUUUGCUAGAGUAAACUAUAAUUUAGCAAUUGCAGUACGUUUAGGAAAGCUAAUACAUAAUACUUAGGAUUCUUAUCUUUUGAAAUAGUUUAUCCAACACUUCUGCUGCAAGUAAUCAUGCUUAUUAGUUAAAUUGGUGUAGUCUAGCUUCUUAAAUCUGAAAGAAAAGGAGCAAGGGAAAUUCUUUAUAGAAUAGCUAGUGUUUAGUACUUUGGACUAGCAACAGAUGAGAUGUAUUUUAGUACCAUAUUUUUUGGUUAAAGGAAUAUAUUUGGCCUCUUUCCACCUGCCUUAAAAAGGUGAUUCUUUUUCCAUUUCCUACUUUAGGAAUUAUAAAUAUGUCUUUUUAUGGCCACAGGAAGCAAUUUGUAAUGGUACAAGCACAAGUGACAGGAGAUAUCUAGUAAGGACUUUGAAUAAGUGGUAGUAGUGAUAUGUGAUAAUAUCACAUUAUAAAAUUUAAACUAUGAAGAAUUAGGACCAUAGAUCAUAAAACAAAUUUGUUCAUUCAGGAGUAUAGAGAGAAAGUGAUUUAUUUAAAUUCCAUAUUAAGAUAAAUUUUAAUCCUUUUAUAUGCUGUUCUUAUUUAUCAAUUAAAGUAAAAAAUAGUUUGAUAUCAAAUUUGAACCAAAAAAGCAGAAUACUCAAAUACAAUGAGGAUUCCAAAUUAUCUGCUAUAUCACAUGACUAGGAAAGUAAAUUAUAAGAGAAUAAAUUUCCUCACUUACAUCUUUUGCUUUCCUUAAAUUCUGUAAUGAUUUCUCUGAUGAUCUUACCCUUUAAGAUAAUUGUGAAUCUUGAUUUUCACAUCAAUUAUUUUGUCUUAUGCAAAUUUUUAAACAUACUACUUUUUCCCCCAAGUAAUUGAUACUGGAACAAGACAGGUCAAACCCGAAACUCUAAGGCAUGUUAACACCUUCCUCCUAGAAGAGAGGAAGAAUAAACAUUCUUUGGAUCCUGUUGUUCAACCAGUUAAGAAUCAUAGUUAAUCACACUUUCUUACCCUGUCCACGGUAAGAAACUGGUCAGAUGCCCUGUUGUGAUCAGGAUUCCCUGUGUCUGUAGCAUUCAUAUCUGUAUAUAGCUGACUGGUUUUAUUUGGUGCUGAAAUCUCUGCUUUUCUUCAGAGACCCUGUCUUUUUCACCUUACUCAUUUUGUAUUCCCAGUGGCUGACAGGUUACAUUACUAUUAAGUGGUACAUUCUCAGUCUGUAUUGGUUGCAGGAAGCUAAUGAGUGAAUGAAUAGUAUAAAAAGUGGAUAUAAAACUAGCUAGUUCUGACUUGUCCUUAGUAAACUUAUGGUAGCUGCUAAGUUCUCCUCUGAAGCCAUUUUUAGAAUUAAAAAUUUAAAGUGAUAUUAAACUUAUUGAAUGUGUCUUGCAUUCAGACAAAGAAGAGAGAAAAUGUCAUCAUUAUGCCAAUUGGUUUGAUUGCAGAUUUUAGAUUUUCAGUUUCUUAUAAAUUCCCUUUCCCAUUUCCCUUGGUGGCUGUUUCACACUUUAGUAUUAAAAGGAUAUUCUCUCUCAAAAUUGUAUAUUCUGCUUUAUAAAGUAAAUGCUUUAAUUUCCCAAGCAAAUAUUAUUUAAAAAAUCAGUCACAGCAAACCUAAAAAUUUUUUGUAUUAGUGUAUGACAGUUACUUGUAGAGCAUAUAAUAGUGUCUAGGAUAAUUCUGGUUCUAGGUCUUUAAUUUUGCAAACUUCAGGAAGAAGCCUAUAAUUGUUUUCUUCAAAAUAAUUGUCUAACCUAUUGAUUUAUGACAUACUGGAGUUGUAUAAGAAAUGUGUGGGCCAGGGGCGGUGGCUCACACCUGUAAUCCCAGCACUUUGGGAGGCCGAGGUGGGCAGAUCACUUGAGGCCAGGAGUUCAAGAGCAGCCUGGCCAACAUGGUUAAACCCUGUCUCUACUAAAAAUACAAAAAUUAGCUGGAUGUGGUGGUGCACACCUGUAAUCCCAGCUACUUUGGUGGCUGAGGCAUGAGAAUCUCUUGAGCCUGGAAGGCGGAGGUUGCAGUGCGCCGAGAUCGGGCCACUGCACACUCCAGCCUGAGUGAUAGAGUGAGGCUCUAUCUCAAAAAAAAAAAAAAAAAAAAAAAAAAA
rnacentral:sRNA from 1 species